UCGGCGACCGGCGCACGGGUGAGUAACACGUAUCCAACCUGCCGAUGACUCGGGGAUAGCCUUUCGAAAGAAAGAUUAAUACCCGAUGGCAUAGUUCUUCCGCAUGGUAGAACUAUUAAAGAAUUUCGGUCAUCGAUGGGGAUGCGUUCCAUUAGCUUGUUGGCGGGGUAACGGCCCACCAAGGCAUCGAUGGAUAGGGGUUCUGAGAGGAAGGUCCCCCACAUUGGAACUGAGACACGGUCCAAACUCCUACGGAAGGCAGCAG
rnacentral:rRNA from 1 species